rnacentral:rRNA from 1 species
ACUCCUACGGGAGGCAGCAGUGGGGAAUCUUGCGCAAUGGGCGAAAGCCUGACGCAGCCAUGCCGCGUGGAUGAUGAAGGUCUUAGGAUUGUAAAAUCCUUUCACCGGGGACGAUAAUGACGGUACCCGGAGAAGAAGCCCCGGCUAACUUCGUGCCAGCAGCCGCGGUAAUACGAAGGGGCUAGCGUUGCUCGGAAUUACUGGGGCGUAAAGGGCGCGUAGGCGGACAGUUAAGUUGGGGGUGAAAGCCCGGGGCUCAACCUCGGAAUUGCCUUCAAUACUGGCUGUCUUGAGUACGGGAGAGGUGAGUGGAACUCCGAGUGUAGAGGUGAAAUUCGUAGAUAUUCGGAAGAACACCAGUGGCGAAGGCGACUCACUGGCCCGUUACUGACGCUGAGGCGCGAAAGCGUGGGGAGCAAACAGGAUUAGAUACCCUGGUAGGAUAGCG